rnacentral:rRNA from 1 species
UACGGAGGGUGCAAGCGUUGUUCGGAAUUAUUGGGCGUAAAGGGCGUGUAGGCGGUUUUUUAAGUCUGAUGUGAAAGCCCCGGGCUCAACCUGGGAAGUGCAUUGGAAACUGGAAGACUUGAGUACGGGAGAGGGCAGUGGAAUUCCUGGUGUAGGAGUGAAAUCCGUAGAUAUCAGGAGGAACACCGGUGGCGAAGGCGGCAUCCUGGACCGGUAUUGACGCUGAGGCGCGAAAGCGUGGGGAGCAAACAGG